CAGGCUGAUCGGGUGAUCGCGGCUUUGCGCAAGCAAGGCUGAGGAAAGUCCGCACUCCACAGAGCAAGACGCCGGGGAAACUCCCGGGGCGGGGCAACCUGCCGGAUCGGGCCACAGAAACAUACCGCCAGCCUGGUUCUCCCUGCGAACCACUGGCAAGGGUGAAAUGGUGGUGUAAGAGACCACCGGUGUCCGCAGUAAUGCGGCAGCCAGGCAACCCCCGUCUGGAGCAAAGCCAAGCAGGAACGAAGCCCUUGUGGCUGGGAGGCUGCUCGCUUCCGCAAGUUCCGGGUAGGCUGCAUGAGCAGAUUGGCAACAAUCUGCCUAGAGAGAUGAUCGCCUCCUGCUGAAUCGUCCUUUGGAUACCCCUGCAGGGACAGAAUGCGGCUUAUAGAUCAGCCUGAGCC
rnacentral:RNase_P_RNA from 1 species